UACGUAGGCAGCAAGCGUUGUUCGGAGUUACUGGGCGUAAAGAGUGUGUAGGUGGUUUUCUAAGUUUGGUGUGAAAUCUCCCGGCUCAACUGGGAGGGUGCGCCGAAUACUGGAAGGCUUGAGUAUGGGAGAGGAAAGCGGAAUUCCUGGUGUAGCGGUGAAAUGCGUAGAUAUCAGGAGGAACACCUGCGGUGUAGACGGCUUUCUGGACCAUCACUGACACUGAGACACGAAAGCGUGGGGAG
rnacentral:rRNA from 1 species